rnacentral:lncRNA from 1 species
GGAGAAGGUCUGAGGAACGGAGCUCCCGGAAGUAAAGGCAUUGCCUCACAUUUGAGUGCAUGAGGAGAAGUAAGGAAGAUUCUAUCACACUCUUGCUGUCAAUGGUUACAAGCCAUAGCUCAGAACACCUGGCAACAGUACUUAAGGAAGGAAAGGUUUGCACUGGCCCGCAGUCUGAAGGAGGACAGAGGACACAAGGCAAUGAGAGCAGCUCUAGGUGUAGCCGUGGGAGCCCGAUAUAGCUGGACGCGCUGCAUCUGAAGCAUGACUUCAGGAUUUGUGGUCAGAAGCACGAGGUGGAGAAGUCCUGAUACAAUCUUUGUACUGUACGGUUGCCGUCUGGACUUCAUUGACUAUCCCGGAGCGAUCCAGCACAAGUGACAAGUGAAGACCUUGGCUGUGUUUCAGAAGCACAAUUACAACUCUUGGGGUAAAGAGCCUCAGCGACAAGGCCCAGGAAAGCAGGUGUAUUGAGAAUUAGAGGUAGUCACAGGGGAUGAAACAUAAAAUCAACGUGCCAGAGGUUGACCUGGGCUCUUCCACCCUCACUGUGAUCUUCAGUUUCGCUGCGUGCACUCAAGGCACAAACCUGGGAUUUGAGAUUUCAAGCUGUGUCUGUAAACUUAUUUUCAGAGACUCGGAGCGGGCCCCAGAGGAGAGGUUGGAAGGGCCUUGAGAGCAGAGGUCUGUUGUUUAACAUCAUCUUCGAGUGUACCCUAGCACGGCGGUCUCGGCUGGAGAGAUUUUCUGUGUGCUGAACUUAGAUGGAUAUGUCAAAGUGUACUCAAGCUUUCUUGAACUUUUUCCCCAUCUGAAAUCACUAAAAAUGUGCAGUAUUUCAAAAAGCCCAAGUUUGCCUCCAAAUAUGCUUGUGAAAUGUAUUUCAACACACAUAUCCAACAGUAAGAACAUGCUGGCCAUAUCAAUCCUCACAGCAACUCUUUAUUGCAGCAUAUUGAGGUUUAAUCAGGAAACAGGUUAGAGCUUCUAUGUACAGGUUUUCUUCUAGUUUGAGGUUUUCCUGAAAUAUGUGACACAGACUCGUUAUACAAAUGGCCACUAGUAAAUUAUUUCCAGCAUGUGUUACUCUGUCAACAGUGAUGCUUUCACAGAACCUUUGUCCUCCACAAUUCCCCCCCUCCAUUUAAACCAGGACAUUUCCAUCUCAGUGAGCCACUGCUGUAUUUGGGACCUAAGCGAGAAGCUGGAUAAACAGAGGCGCUAUUAUUAUUGUUACUGUCAAUAUAGUUUCCUUCCCUAGUUAUAACUGAUUAUUUCCUUUUUUCCAUUUCAAAACAUUUUUGUUCAAAUGCUUCUGAUGGCUCUCGUCACAAGCAAUAUUCCUUCGGAAAUAAUGCACCUUUUUAAUUUCUCAACCUAAAAUACACAGCCCGUCAUCUCCAUAGUAGGAUGAUGCUGUUAGAGAGAUCAGCUGUGUCUAGUUGGAGAAUUUUUAGGGGAAUAAGGGAUUACAGGAGCGAGUGCUUCCUCUAUUAGUUCGUGCAAAGUGAAGACAAGAAAGAAAGUCUGUAGGAUGUAAGAGGUGAUGUUACUCCAGCAAGAGUUGGGCAUUUGGAAACACAUGGAGUUAAAAGCAGUUUUCACUUAAUGUGCUUUGUUGUUUCUGCUACAAUAAAAAUAAAUAAUAAAAA